UAGCCCCUACGUAGGGAAAGCUAACAUAAAAAUUUAGUGCUAGAUUCUAAAGCAAAAUGGCGGAAAAAAUCGAGAUGUUACUUAAAUGAGAAUGAUUUUAGCUUAUAUGAACGAUAAUAAUUGGAACAAGUAAAAUCUUUCCGGAAUACGUCACCGCGAUUGGUUUAUUCUACUACUAGAAGUUGUUUACGGGAUUCGAAAAGGCGAGACAAGAAGACUGCCGGUAUCCUGAAUUGGAUUUGGAAAGGGGCUAGGUAGAAUCUCCUAGGACAUGUGUGAUGGAACUGAAGCCCUUCCUAUUGAUAAAUCUACAGAUAUGUCUUCCAUUGCCUUUACCUCCAGUGGGAAUGUGGCGUUCAUUGAUGCAACCUGAUUCAUGGACAACCAUGUUGAUCCUGAAACUUUUAUGCAAUUGUUCUCAUCCAAGACCUUUGUCACAGGACAAACUGUCACAAAAAUCAACUAUUUUCCAGUUGAAUCAGGUGAGUGUCACAGCCCAAAAGCCUGCUUCUGCCACUCUUUUAUGACCCUGGAAUCAAAGAUCAAAGCUAAGGUCAUAUUCUUUUUGGUCUGUCUGUCGCAAAAAACUUUAACCUUGGUCAUAUAUUUUACACCAUUAGAGGUGGAACUUUCAGUUUGGUAUGUACGUCAGUACGUGUAUAUUUCUUGUGGCAAGACCUUUCCACUGACAACAAAACCUUUGACCUUGUGACCUUAUCAUUGACCUUUGAUCUGAUUCCACUUUGUUGUAAUCCAGGGGCAUCAACGUUUCACAAACACAUCUGGAUUUUUAGUAAAUUCAGGUGACCUAUUGCAAUUGGUUGUUUUCCGGCAACGUGUGUCGUACAACGUGCGUUGACAAUAACUACUGCUCCAAUUCUUUUCAAAUGGUAUGAAGCAUUUUUAGGACAAGGGGGACAUAAAUUGUAAAUUUCAGUACUCCUGCACCCCUGGGGCCUCGUGCAGGGCAAAUACUGCCAAAAAUUGACCAAUUUUCAAAAGUCUUUUCUACAACCAUACAUGUGCAAGAAAAACUAAAUACAUAGUGAUGUAAGGCCUUUACCAAAAUUGUAAAUUCCAUGAUCCAUGAGGUAGAGUUUCUGAGACCAGCGUGGGACCAAAACUAGUAUUGUAUAGUAUAUAUAUAAUAUAUAUGUGUGUGUAAAACAUUUAAAUAAUAUGGUCUUAAUUGGAGUAGUGAUACUUUUAACUAAUACUCAGGUUACCGAUAAGGCCUGUGGGCUUCUUGUUA